GACGUAGGGCGCGAGCGUUGUCCGGAUUUAUUGGGCGUAAAGAGCUCGUAGGCGGUUUGUUGCGUCAGCUGUGAAAACCCGCAGCUCAACUGUGGGCUUGCAGCGGAUACGGGCAGGCUUGAGUUCGGUAGGGGAGACUGGAAUUCCUGGUGUAGCGGUGAAAUGCGCAGAUAUCAGGAGGAACACCGAUGGCGAAGGCAGGUCUCUGGGCAGUAACUGACGCUGAGGAGCGAAAGCAUGGAGAGCGAACAGG
rnacentral:rRNA from 1 species